GUCAUAUAAAGGUCAGCUGUUUACACAAAGGUCAUAUAAAGGUCAGCUGUUUACACAAAGGUCAUAUAAAGGUCAGCUGUUUACACAAAGGUCAUAUAAAGGUCAGCUGUUUACACAAAGGUCAUAUAAAGGUCAGCUGUUUACACAAAGGUCAUAUAAAGGUCAGCUGUUUACACAAAGGUCAUAUAAAGGUCAGCUGUUUACACAAAGGUCAUAUAAAGGUCAGCUGUUUACACAAAGGUUGUACGCAGGUUGUAAACCAGAAUAUGAAUGGGUCAUAUGAAGUUAUUAACAGGUCAUAUGAAGGUCAUUAACAGGUCAUAUGAAGGUCAUUAACAGGUCAUAUGAAGUUAUUAACAGGUCAUAUGAAGGUCAUUAACAGGUCAUAUGAAGGUCAUUAACAGGUCAUAUGAAGUUAUUAACAGGUCAUAUGAAGGUCAUUAACAGGUCAUAUGAAGGUCAUUAACAGGUCAUAUGAAGUUAUUAACAGGUCAUAUGAAGGUCAUUAACAGGUCAUAGGAAGGUCAUUAACAGGUCAUAUGAAGGUCAUUAACAGGUCAUAUGAAGGUCAUUAACAGGUCAUAGGAAGGUCAUUAACAGGUCAUAUGAAGUUAUUAACAGGUCAUAUGAAGGUCAUUAACAGGUCAUAUGAAGUUAUUAACAGGUCAUAUGAAGGUUAUUAACAGGUCAUAUGAAGGUCAUUAACAGGUCAUAUGAAGGUCAUUAACAGGUCAUAUGAAGGUCAUUAACAGGUCAUAUGAAGGUCAUUAACAGGUCAUAUGAAGGUUAUUAACAGGUCAUAUGAAGGUUAUUAACAGGUCAUAUGAAGGUCAUUAACAGGUCAUAUGAAGUUAUUAACAGGUCAUAUGAAGGUCAUUAACAGGUCAUAUGAAGGUCAUUAACAGGUCAUAUGAAGGUUAUUAACAGGUCAUAUGAAGGUCAUUAACAGGUCAUAUGAAGGUCAUUAACAGGUCAUAUGAAGGUGAGGUGCUGGUCUUCAUUGAGGCCGUAGGUUUGUUUGUGCUGUUCAAACAGUUCAUGCAGACUCUGCAGGUAAACUUUAUGAAGGCACUCAAUGUCCUCAUUGCUAGGACUGGGAGUCUGGACGACCAAG